GGUGAACGCUGGCGGCGUGCUUAACACAUGCAAGUCGAACGGUAAGGCCCUUCGGGGUACACGAGUGGCGAACGGGUGAGUAACACGUGGGUGAUCUGCCCUGCACUUCGGGAUAAGCCUGGGAAACUGGGUCUAAUACCGGAUAGGACCACUGCCUGCAUGGGUGGUGGUGGAAAGCUUUUGCGGUGUGGGAUGGGCCCGCGGCCUAUCAGCUUGUUGGUGGGGUGAUGGCCUACCAAGGCGACGACGGGUGGCCGGCCUGGGAGGGUGACCGGCCACACUGGGACUGAGAGACGGCCCAGACUCCUACGGGAGGCAGCGGUGGGGAAUAUUGCACAAUGGGCGCAAGCCUGAUGCAGCGACGCCGCGUGAGGGAUGACGGCCUUCGGGUUGUAAACCUCUCUCAGCACCGACGAAGCGCAAGUGACGGUAGGUGCAGAAGAAGGACCGGCCAACUACGUGCCAGCAGCCGCCGCGG
rnacentral:rRNA from 1 species